AGUGAACGCUGGCGGCAGGCCUAACACAUGCAAGUCGAGCGGCAGCGGGUCCUUCGGGAUGCCGGCGAGCGGCGGACGGGUGAGGAAUACAUCGGAAUCUGCCCUGUCGUGGGGGAUAACCUAGGGAAACUUAGGCUAAUACCGCAUACGACCUACGGGUGAAAGCGGGGGAUCGCAAGACCUCGCGCGACAGGAUGAGCCGAUGUCCGAUUAGCUAGUUUGCGGGGUAAAGGCCCACCAAGGCGACGAUCGGUAGCUGGUCUGAGAGGAUGAUCAGCCACACUGGGACUGAGACACGGCCCAGACUCCGACGGGAGGCAGCAGUGGGGAAUAUUGGACAAUGGGCGCAAGCCUGAUCCAGCCAUGCCGCGUGGGUGAAGAAGGCCUUCGGGUUGUAAAGCCCUUUUGUCCGGGAAGAAAUCGUCUGGGCUAAUACCCCGGGCGGAUGACGGUACCGGAAGAAUAAGCACCGGCUAACUUCGUG
rnacentral:rRNA from 1 species